rnacentral:rRNA from 1 species
UGAGACACGGUCCAAACUCCUACGGGAGGCAGCAGUGAGGAAUAUUGGUCAAUGGGCGAGAGCCUGAACCAGCCAAGUAGCGUGAAGGAUGACGGCCCUACGGGUUGUAAACUUCUUUUAUAAGGGAAUAAAGUUCGCCACGUGUGGUGUUUUGUAUGUACCUUAUGAAUAAGCAUCGGCUAAUUCCGUGCCAGCAGCCGCGGUAAUACGGAAGAUGCGAGCGUUAUCCGGAUUUAUUGGGUUUAAAGGGAGCGUAGGCGGGCUUUUAAGUCAGCGGUCAAAUGUCACGGCUCAACCGUGGCCAGCCGUUGAAACUGUAAGCCUUGAGUCUGCACAGGGCACAUGGAAUUCGUGGUGUAGCGGUGAAAUGCUUAGAUAUCACGAAGAACUCCGAUCGCGAAGGCAUUGUGCCGGGGCAGCACUGACGCUGAGGCUCGAAAGUGCGGGUAUCAAACAGGAUUAGAUACCCUGGUAGUCCGCACGGUAAACGAUGAAUGCUCGCUAUGGGCGAUACAAUGUCCGUGGCCAAGCGAAAGCGUUAAGCAUUCCACCUGGGGAGUACGCCGGCAACGGUGAAACUCAAAGGAAUUGACGGGGGCCCGCACAAGCGGAGGAACAUGUGGUUUAAUUCGAUGAUACGCGAGGAACCUUACCCGGGCUUGAACUGCCAGUGACUCAUGCAGAGACGCAUGUUUCUUCGGACACUGGCGGAGGUGCUGCAUGGUUGUCGUCAGCUCGUGCCGUGAGGUGUCGGCUUAAGUGCCAUAACGAGCGCAACCCUUAUCUUUAGUUACUAACAGGUCAUGCUGAGGACUCUAGAGAGACUGCCGUCGUAAGAUGUGAGGAAGGUGGGGAUGACGUCAAAUCAGCACGGCCCUUACGUCCGGGGCUACACACGUGUUACAAUGGGGGGUACAGAGGGCCGCUGUCCGGUGACGGUUGGCCAAUCCCUAAAACCCCUCUCAGUUCGGACUGGAGUCUGCAACCCGACUCCACGAAGCUGGAUUCGCUAGUAAUCGCGCAUCAGCCAUGGCGCGGUGAAUACGUUCCCGGGCCUUGUACACACCGCCCGUCAAGCCAUGAAAGCCGGGGGUACCUGAAGUACGUAACCGCAAGGAGCGUCCUAGGGUAAAACUGGUAAUUGGGGCUAAGUCGUAACAAGGUAGCCGUACCGGAAGGUGCGGCUG